AUAAUCAAUUGGUUCGCACCUCGCUUUGACCACGGAUGUACUGGCACUGCGGUUAUGCGAACCCUGGAAAGGUCGGGCUUGCCCCGGCCUUUUUGUUU
rnacentral:sRNA from 1 species